CAGCAGUCGCCGCGGUAAUACGAAGGGUGCAAGCGUUACUCGGAAUUACUGGGCGUAAAGCGUGCGUAGGUGGUGGUUUAAGUCCGUUGUGAAAGCCCUGGGCUCAACCUGGGAAUUGCAGUGGAUACUGGGUCACUAGAGUGUGGUAGAGGAUAGUGGAAUUUCCGGUGUAGCAGUGAAAUGCGUAGAGAUCGGAAGGAACAUCUGUGGCGAAGGCAGCCAUCUGGCCUAAUACUGACGCUGAGGUACGAAAGCAUGGGGAGCAAACAGGAUUAGAUACCCGAGUAGUCCCUGUCUCUUAUAC
rnacentral:rRNA from 1 species